UGUCCUCUUUCUCCAACCACGAAUGAAGCUCCCCUCUCUCUCCUCUUCUUUCCCCUCUCUUCUCUCUUUUGUCUCCUACCCACCACCACCGCCGCCACUAACCACCGUCGCCACCAAGUCCGAGUUCGUCGAAUUCGGAGUCGGAGGAGAAAAUUGAUGGCCAAUACGGCUUCUGCAAUUCAGCUACCGAGCUCAUGUUGUUCGGCUUCUCGUCGAAUCCCUUUGUUUAGUUUUUUUUUGGCAAGUGUAAAAUUCCUGAUUAUGAAUUUCAGUUAUAUUUGGUGUUGUAUGAGUUUUCUGCUAAUUUUUAAGUGAAAAAAGAUAAAAAAAAAAAAAGGGAAUUAUAUUUUUUGGGGUAUUUUAGGCACCGGUUAACCGGUGCCAAUAAUAAGUUUUCCUACCAGUUCAAACCGGUGGCUUUUAAUCCGAUUAUUAGCACACCCCAAAUUGGCACCGGUUCAAAACUGGUUGCAUUGAGGGUUUUGAACCGGUGCCAAUUUUGUUUUUUCUACUAGUGUUAGGCGAUUCACGAAAGUAGCUCAAAUGGCAUGUAUAUCUCAUUUUGUUUUUUUGUUUGUGUCAAUAUUAGAGCCCCCAUGUGUCGGGUUAUGCACAUUCUUGCUAUUUCACAAGUCUUGGAUCCCCCAAUUUAGGGUAGUUCUAAUGACUUGCUAUUGUUUAGGCCAUUCAUAUGAUACUGAGAUGGACCUAUGUAUUUGUCCUAUUCAGUUAAAGUCAUGUUCAAGAAAGCAAGUUAGUUCUUUGCUUGUUUAUAAACCAAAACAAUUGUGUUGAAGGUUUAGUAAUCUUACCUAAUGUCCAAACGGUUGUAAAGAUCAUUGCGGUGAUUUUAUUCUCAAAGUUGAUUUAAAACAUCAAA